AUUUCCUCUCACAGGGGCACAGGGAUAUUGCUCAGGGAAACUACCAACAAUGAAGCUGUGGGAGAUAAGAAAGGAAAUGCUGUUAAAAACAGCUUUAACCGCGUUUGUCCUCUCAUGUUUCCUGGGACGUCUGGACUGUGAAGAAGAUCUUCACAGCUUAGUCUGGACAGAACGUCACUCUGACAUGUCGAGCUCCAAAUAUCAGUGUUCCCAUCAGAGCUGUGGAGUGGUUCAGACUUGACCUGCUGGAAGGACAUGUUCUCAUGUACCGGGGUGAGCAGUUUGUUUCAUUCAACCAGCUUCCAUCGUUUGUGAACCGGGUAGAUCUGCAGAACAGAUGGAUGCAGGAUGGAGACGUGUCUUUGGUUCUGAAGGAUGUGACAAGAAAUGACACUGGAACAUAUCAGUGUUAUGUCAUUCAGAGAGGAAAGAACCACAGGAAGUGCACUGUGGAACAUAUCAGCAUCAUCUACCUUCAUGUUGUUGCUCCAGGUCAACAAGGAGGACAGAGUGGAUGGACCUGCUGGACUGAAUGUUUGUCACUUUUUGCUUCUGUUGUUGCUUUUUCUAUGACCUCUUUUCACAGAAAAAGAUCUACACAGUGUCAUGGUCCCCGUGCCUGCUCAGCUGGCCCUGUGUGGCUACAUGUUAUGUUUUGUCUAUUCUCUCUCUCCUCUCUCUCUGCUCGCUGCCUGGGCGGAGCUCAUUGUGAGCUCCCGGCCUCCACCACCUGUAGGCAAUCACCUGUGGCUCCUCACCUUGUUUGGUGAUGGCAGCUACAUUGUAGCCACAGCUGCCCUGGGGCGCACUGACAGAGGCGAGGCUGCCGGACACAGGUGCCACCGGGCCCUCUGACCACCACCAGUAGGCAAACAUGGGGUUAGUAUCUUGCCUAAGGAUAUUUGGCAUGCAGCCAGGAGGCAGCCUGGGAUCGAACCACCGACCUUCUGAUUAGUGGCUGACCUGCUCUGCCACCUGAGCUACAGCCACCCAUGUUUGCUCCCGCUACUUAAGGCAGUGACUGAGAGCACCUCGCCGCUGGACUAUUGAGUAACGCUCAUUUCUCGUGCUUGGUUUGGGGACUCUGGACGCUUUUCCCGACUCCUCUCUGCACCCCUGGGAACCCUGGCCCCCUUCUCCUUCACCUGUAUAUAGUGCACCUGGAGUGUGUAAAUAAACCUGUUUUUCUGAGAUUUCAGUCUGCGCCGAGUCCUCCCUGCUCCUCCGUCACGGAGGUAAAAACAAAUCUUUUUUUACGAGUACAAAAUAUUUAUGACCACAUUUUGAGCCCAUAGAGUUUUCCUUUUUUUGAGUUGUUUCUGUAUGUGGCAUCCCUGUCCCCCCACUGGUAAACUCAUCUAUAUUGAUGUGCCUGUUUGUGCUUUUAUGUUAAAUCGUUACUAAUAAAUUGACAAUUUGCUUUAUCACUAGACCACGGCCCUCUAUUGAGUAUAACAGACCUGAGCAUCUUCCUGGUAAUUAGCAUUACUUCGAUCCAGUGUUCUCCGGGUGAAAUUCCAGGGUGGCGUUGUCGGUUGUCUGUUAAAUUGUGAAGAGUAUUUAUUCCAUCCCAGCCUUGUGCUGCCACAUUUAGUUUAAGAUCUACAUUCUGAUAUUCUGAUGAGAGAGAGGUUGAGUCUCCAUGAACAGCUUUACUGCUGCUGUUUGACAUCUUCGAUCCAGCUUAGAUUAUUCCCACUGAUGAUGAAAUGCACUAGCUUAAAAAAAGUCAGAAUGUGGAGUAUAAGAUGUCAUAUUUAAAUCCAGUAACAUGAAAAAAUGAUGAAAAAAUGAUUUAUUGUAAAUCUCUUCUUUUGGUCCAUCUGUGCCUCUUUCUUGGACCAACAGGGGGGCCGUGAUCCACACUUUGGGAAUCACUGCUAUAGUGACUCAAUGAUCUAUUUUUUUUGUGGGGUAGCAUGUAGAUUACUUUAUAUUCCUGUAAGAGUAUAUUUGUUUUAUUUGUUUGUUAUUAACAAAUUUUCAACAUGUAUUAUUACUGAGUGACGGCUUUGCUAAAUCCAGCUGUGAGCUUUUUGACUGUUUCUGGGGACACUGAGCAGCAGCACAGAUCUAUACUGUGACAGUAUAAUGGAUGGUAUGUGUGUUUAUUUAUUUAAUCACUUAGUCUCAGCUCAGCCUUUUUGCAUAUAAAUAUCUUCCAGUCAUACAAUAUGCCAGCAUGAUUUCAAGAUAGUAAGUUUAGACUGAUCGAAGCAGGAACUGAGUAAAAAUGUGACCUGAGUGUGAGGUAUGUCUGAAAGACAUACCUCACACUCAGACACUCAGGUUAGACCUGACUAACCCACAAUAAAUAAAUAAUCAAGUAACUAAAAAUUAUUUUUAUUCAGGCCAUGGUGUAAUAAUGAUCACUAAACCUUUGAAAAUAGUCCCUUUAACCUUCCUAACAUUAAAGAUGAUAUUUUAAUAAAAACGUAACAUAUUUACUUUUACAAAUAGAGACAAUAUGAACCAGAAAAACCUGUGUGGGCCUGUCACUGUGAAAAAUUUGAAGCCUCCAGUUUUUGUUUUUUUUGUUUUAUCUGAACCAGGAAGUGUUUUGAAUGCAGGGCAGAGCUCUGACUCUGCAACCAAAGGGUAAGGUUGAGGGUAAAAACCUGUUUCAGUGUAGCGUACAGGUGUUCAGCAGUACUGGGAACAGUGGGUGUGUUAGUGGAGGCGCUUAAUGAAAUGAUCCCAGGAAGCAGGUUGUGAGAUUUUUAUACUAUCCUAUGCCACCUUAUACUUCUAAUCAAAGAAUUGUCGAAUCAUUAUACAGCUAUAGGCCACAUUAUGUCUUGGAUUAAAGAUGUAAAAUCAUUACUGUUUUAUGAUGCACUAUACUGCUGAUUUAUAAGAAAUACUGUUUGUGAAGAAUCAUGGCCUUCCUUUUCUGAGUACAAAGAGAACAGAACAUACCGUAGAGCUUUUCUGCCCUAUCUCAUCAGGAGGAGAUAAAACAGGAAGCCAAGGUCGUCACGUAGGUGCCGUAAGAGAGAAAGAAUGUGAAUGCUUAGUGUGGCGGAGGGCUGAAGCUAUAAGACUGUGAGAAACGGUCAGACACUUUGACAUUUUGCAGGAAACCCCGCCUUGCUCAUCUCCUGUCAGGAUGUUUAAGCUCAAAGUGUGUAAGGAAUUAUGAGAAGUGUAUGGAAUAAAGAGAUUGUUGAUUGAGCAUUUAUAUACUGAGUGUUUAUACACCCACACACCAUCAGGCUGUUUAACUCCUCUCUGGAGGGGAGAGGGAGGGGAAACAGGAGGACAAAGGAGGGGGGAACAACUAAGCUGUAGUGCCUCUUCACUGUGCAAGGCUUUUUGUUAAUAACCAACGGUGCAAUAGACUCACAACAUUUGAAAUGUACAAUUCCCUUGUAUUCUUAUUCCUAUUUAUUCUAUUUAUCCCUUUUGUAUCCUCUGUAUUUAUAUAUGUGUAUAUAUGCUAUUCUGCUCACAUUCUGUAACUUCUGUUGGUGCUGUGCUAUUGGAAACUGAAUUUCUCAGAGGAAUCCACCCGAGGGAUUAAUAAAGUUUUAUCUUAUCUUGUCUCUCUUGUUGUUCUUCCUUCAGCCCAAACAACAAAGAUUUGGGAUAUUUAACAAGGUGUAGCAGGCCUCCUAUUUUCAUUACAGAUAACUCG
ensembl:lncRNA